rnacentral:rRNA from 1 species
UUUGUACACACCGCCCGUCGCUACUACCGAUUGAAUGGCUUAGUGAGGCUUCCGGAUUGGUUUAGAGAAGGGGGCAACUCCAUCUUGGAACCGAGAAGCUAGUCAAACUUGGUCAUUUAGAGGAAGUAAAAGUCGUAACAAGGUUUCCGUCCGUGAACCUGCGGAAGGAUCAUUA